rnacentral:tRNA from 1 species
GUUCCGUUAGCUCAGCUGGAUAGAGCAACGCCCUUCUAAGGCGUGUGUCGGGGGUUCGAAUCUCUCACGGAACACCA